rnacentral:pre_miRNA from 1 species
CAUGCACCGGUGGGGUCCCUCAGCCUGGCCUGUACCCUCUAGCAAUCCGGGACCCUUUGGGGGAUGUCAGACUGCCGGUUUCAGCCAGAUCCCCACAGGCCAGGCUGAGGGACCCCACUGAUGCACG